rnacentral:rRNA from 1 species
AAUCAACGCUGGCGGCGUGCCUAACACAUGCAAGUCGAGCGAGAAAAGGGGGGCAACUCCCUGAGUAAAGCGGCGCACGGGUGAGUAACACGUGGGUAAUCUGCCCUGGAGUGGGGAAUAACACCGGGAAACCGGUGCUAAUACCGCAUACGAUAGCGGGAUCUGCGGAUUUCGUUAUGAAAGGAGCAAUUCGCUCUAGGAGGAGCCCGCGGCUGAUUAGCUAGUUGGUGAGGUAAUGGCUCACCAAGGCUACGAUCAGUAUCCGGUCUG